rnacentral:sRNA from 1 species
GUGGGGGCAGAAGCAAGCAUCAUCUUGGGGCAGGAGCAGGAUUCCUUCGGUGGGAACUUUGAAGAAAGCCAGUCCCUGGUGGGAGACAUUGGAAAUGUGAACAUGUGGGACUUUGUGCUGUCACCAGAUGAGAUUAACACCAUCUAUCUUGGCGGGCCCUUCAGUCCUAAUGUCCUGAACUGGCGGGCACUGAAGUAUGAAGUGCAAGGCGAAGUGUUCACCAAACCCCAGCUGUGGCCCUGAGGCCCAGCUGUGGGUCCUGAAGUGCUUUCUUAAUUUUAUGGCUCUUCUGGGAAACUCCUCCCCUUUUCCACACGAACCUUGUGGGGCUGUGAAUUCUUUCUUCAUCCCCGCAUUCCCAAUAUACCCAGGCCACAAGAGUGGACGUGAACCACAGGGUGUCCUGUCAGAGGAGCCCGUCUCCCAUCUCCCCAGCUCCCUAUCUGGAGGAUAGUUGGAUAGUUACGUGUUCCUAGCAGGACCAACUACAGUCUUCCCAAGGAUUGAGUUAUGGACUUUGGGAGUGAGACAUCUUCUUGCUGCUGGAUUUCCAAGCUGAGAGGACGUGAACCUGGGACCACCAGUAGCCAUCUUGUUUGCCACAUGGAGAGAGACUGUGAGGACAGAAGCCAAACUGGAAGUGGAGGAGCCAAGGGAUUGACAAACAACAGAGCCUUGACCACGUGGAGUCUCUGAAUCAGCCUUGUCCGGAACCAGAUCUACACCUGGACUGUCCAGGUCUAUAAGCCAAUAAAGCCCCUGUUUACUU